rnacentral:lncRNA from 1 species
GGAUGCCCCAAGAGCCGCUUUCCCGGGACACCGCCGCCCCUCCCGGCUCUGGUCCCACUGCCUGCGAAAGCCCGGCCCGGCACGACCUUUUAAAUGUGGCUUCUCUGAGCGCAAAGAUAUUAUUCUGACAUUCAUCCAAAAGCUGGCUGAAAUUUGGGAGAGAGCCAGCAACAGAUGCAAUGAGCUUCUCUUCUCCCAUAUACGUUCCAUGGCCCCUGAUGCAAGGCGAAGAUACAAAGAAAGGAUACGAGGGUAACUCGAAAUGACUUCUCUCCCUUCAA